rnacentral:misc_RNA from 1 species
UCAAACUUGGUCAUUUAGAGGAAGUAAAAGUCGUAACAAGGUUUCCGUAGGUGAACCUGCGGAAGGAUCAUUACAAAUCAGUGUUUGGGGAGGAGGGCUGGGGGGUUGGCUUGGUGUGGAAGGUUUGGUUUGGUCUGGUCGGUGGGAUUCUGUCGGCUUGCUAAAUCAAAUCCUGCUGCCUCCUGCUCUCGGCUCUCGGCACCAACAUACUUGCGCGUGUCGUGUUUGACAGAGUAAUAUACACCCGUAAUCAUAUACAACUUUUAACAAUGGAUCUCUUGGCUCUUGCAUCGAUGAAGAACGCAGC